rnacentral:rRNA from 1 species
AUUGGCGUAAAGCGUUCGCAGGUGGUUUAUCAAGUCUGCUGUUAAAGCGUCUGGCUUAACCAGAUAAAGGCAGUGGAAACUGAUGGACUGGAGUGCGGUAGGGGCAGAGGGAAUUCCUGGUGUAGCGGUGAAAUGCGUAGAGAUCAGGAAGAACACCGGUGGCGAAAGCGCUCUGCUGGACCGCAACUGACACUGAGGGACGAAAGCUAGGGGAGCGAAUGGGAUUAGAUACCCCAGUAGUCCUAGCCGUAAACGAUGGAUACUAGGCGUUGCCCGUAUCGACCCGGGCAGUGUCGUAGCCAACGCGUUAGGUAUCCCGCCUGGGGAGUACGCACGCAAGUGUGAAACUCAAAGGAAUUGACGGGGGCCCGCACAAGCGGUGGAGUAUGUGGUUUAAUUCGAUGCAACGCGAAGAACCUUACCAGGGUUUGACAUGUCCGGAAUCUCUUGGAAACGAGAGAGUGCCUUCGGGAGCCGGAACACAGGUGGUGCAUGGCUGUCGUCAGCUCGUGUCGUGAGAUGUUGGGUUAAGUCCCGCAACGAGCGCAACCCUCGUUCUUAGUUGCCAGCACUUCGGGUGGGCACUCUAAGGAGACUGCCGGUGACAAACCGGAGGAAGGUGGGGAUGACGUCAAGUCAGCAUGCCCCUUACGCCCUGGGCUACACACGUACUACAAUGCUGUGGACAAAGGGCAGCAAGCUAGCGAUAGCAAGCAAAUCCCAUAAACCACGGCUCAGUUCAGAUCGCAGGCUGCAACUCGCCUGCGUGAAGGAGGAAUCGCUAGUAAUUGCAGGUCAGCAUACUGCAGUGAAUUCGUUCCCGGGCCUUGUACACACCGCCCGUCACACCAUGGAAGCUGGUCACGCCCGAAGUCGUUACCCUAACCUUUCGAGGAGGGGGACGCCGAAGGUAGGACUGGUGACUGGGGUGAAGUCGUAACAAGGUAACCGUAAAGGGCGAAUU